AUAACAUGAAUAGCUAGAGUUACAAACCAUAAUUAAUAUGAGUCAUAUCUCAUGGCCAAAUACAUAUAACUUAAUAUAAGCCAAUACAUUUGGCUAAAAUCAUGAUAACACAUGUCAUAAAACUAGAUCCCUAUACAUGCCACUCACUUGAAAAUUUCUAACAUGUGCUUUAUUAUCCCAAAGGUAGUGACUUGAUAGUGUGAUGCUGCCUCCGACGAUCUCCAACCCUGAGCUAAUCUGACAAAGCUAAAAGAAAUGGAAAGGAGGGAGUAAGCUUCACGCUUAGUAAGUCUAUAUAAAAAUAAUAAGAAAUUUAUCAAUAUGCUUCUACCAAUUCUUACAACAUGAUCUCAAGGUAAUACUCUCAUAAUUGUCUAUUUACCUAUGUUCAGGUCAAGCUGUAUUCUCGAGUCAUAGUCACUAAAUAAUUUAUAUCAGGAGCUACGGUAUCCUAAAUUAAGAUCUGUAUAUUUUCCCUAAAACUAGACUCAUAUACCUUCUUACCAUAAAAUUUUUAGAAUUUUUGGUCUUGCUAAUAAGUACAUUUUAUUCUUUAAAUUUACCCCUUUCUCGCUAUCUGAUAGUUCUAACCCGUUUUCACUAAAAAUUAAUUGUCUCACAAUACAAGACUAGGAUGAUGUUCCCGUCUAUUUCUCUUGAAAAUAGACUCAUAUAGAUUAUAACCCAUAAUUAUUUUUUUACAAAUUUCAAUAAUUUUCUAAAAUCAGAAUAUGGGAUUUCGAAAUCAUUCUGACUCUGUCCUGCAACAAUUUAAAUAUUUCAUAAUAUGAAACUCUUUUUCUUACACCGUUUCUCCUAUGUAAAACUAGACUCAUUAAGCUUUAAUUUCAUAUUUUAUUUAGCCUCUAACUAAAUUUUCACAAUUUUUGGUGGAUUUUCAAAUUCAAACUGCUGUUGCUGUCUAAAAUUGUUUUAGUGUAAAUUAAUGAUACUAAGUUUAUCACACCUUAUUAAUUCAUUUCACCGUAUUGGUAAAGAUACAUAUUUAUACAAGUAUAGACCUAUAAUCACAAGGUCACCACAAAUCAUUCUCAUAGGCAUGAAUUACCUAUUUACACCUUCACCCAUGUGCCAUCAUAAACCGAAAUAAUUUCUCAUGAGCUUGGCAUACAUACCUGUGUUACUCAACAUACUCAUAUUCAUUCCUUAUUAAUCAUACAAAAUGAAUUGAAUUCACAUCUCAUCAAUUUCAUGUAAGUACCUGUACCACUCACCACAUGGUCAUAAGUUCUCAUUUCGAUAUAAACCGUAAAUCUCCUGUUGAACCAUUUGGAAUAGUACAGGAUAUUCAAUAGCCCCAAACAUGAGAUAAUAUGCUGACGCCAUAUCUCAAACAUGGUCUUACACUGGCUAGCACAUCAAAGUCGAUACCAUGUCCCAAACAGGUCUUACACUGACUUUCAUAUAUCGAGGCCGAUGCCAUGUUCCAGAUAGGUCUUACACUGGCUCUCAUCUAUCAGUGUCGAUGCCAUGUCCUAGACAGGUCUUACACUGACACACAACAGGCUGACGCCAUGUCCCAGACAGGUCUUGCACUAGCUUGUAUAUCUCGAGGCCUAUGCAUUUCCCAAACAUGUCUUACACUAGCUCUCGUCUCAAUGCUGAUGCAUGUCCCAAACAUGUCUUACAUUGGCUUGUAUAUCUCGAGACCGAUGCAUGUCCCGGACAUGUCUUACACUGGCUCUGGUAAUGUGGCCGAUACAUGUCCCAAACAUGUCUUACACUAGGACACAUAUCACCUAAUGUCAUGGCAUGAAUAUUCAAAUCUAUUCCUCAUGUUCAACCGGAAGUCUUUAUAAUAUAAAUUCUCAUUCACCAUGCAAAUCAACAAUUCAUACUGUAAUAAUCGUAUAAUACAUGAUAACAUUGAAUUUUGCAUUAUUUACGUACAACUUACUUGUUUCAAUGGAAUGUCAUAUUCCAUCAACAUAUAAUUAAAUACAAUCAUAGCAAAAUAGAUUUCAAGUAUAUUAACUGUAACGCCCCUAACCCGAAUCCGUCACCGGAAUAGAGUUACAGAGCAUUACCGGAGUUACCGAUUUAUUUAUCAGAUAUUUCAUUUCAUCUAACGUUCAUAUUUGGAACCAAUUAAAAUCAAACAUAUUGUCCCUUAACGUACUUAUUUUUCUCGAUAUGUUGUACUUGAAUUUAUUACUUGUCUCAAUUUAAUUAAUUUCCUUGUAUCAACGUAUCAAAGAUGAUUCCUAUUUACAUGUCAUGAUAAAUAUAAUUCUCUUGCCAUUUCUUCAUAAACAUAAAUCAGGAUAAUUCAUUAUAUCGAUAUUUCAUGCAUUUAAAAAUACAAUUCAAGUUACACUAACUUACCUCGUUACUUGUUCAUGUUUAUAAUUUCAUUAAUCCGAUAUCUUUUCUUUACCACGUUCAAGUCUCGUAUUCGAGUCAUCCGGAUCUUUAUAAAGAAAUUUGAUCGUCGUUUUCAUUUAUUUCAUGUUCUAAUACAUUCAAUUGAUGCUCUAAACAAAAUUACCAUUUUACCCCUAAACUUUUUAAUUAAUGACGAUUUCAUCCUUAGGCUAAAAAAAUAAAAUUCUUGCAAUUUAAUCCUUAUUUCUAGCCGUUAUUCUCAAACAAAUUGAUAACAACCCAUGAAUUCUAUAAAAUAUCAGAAUUUUCCAUAAUUUCAACAAUUUUCAAUUUAAUCCUUAAAACAUGUUUUUCCCCGAUCUUGAGCUAAAUUAAUAAUUUCAUUCAAUUUUGUAAUUUUAAAUAAUAAAAUAAUCCAUAUCAUGCAAAUUGGUCAUUUCUAACAUUUUUACAAAAUUACCCAUAAAGUUUUAAUUUUAUUCAAUUUAGUCCCUAAGCCUAAAACAUGCAAAUUAGCCAUGCUAGAUGAGUAUUCAUACAUAUUUUCCUCUUCCUCCUCUCCAUUCCACAUCCUUAAUUUAUAUAAUAUGCUUAUAAGUAACAUUAUCAAUAAUUUCACUAUUUACUUAUAUGUAUAUUCAAAACUGUCCAUUUGCGUCAUAGUCACUAAAUUAUUUAUAUCUUGAGCUAAAGAACUCGAAAUUAAGAUCUGAUAAUUUUCCAUGAAACUAGACUUAUGUAUCUUAUUACGAUAAAAUUUUCAGAAUUUUUGGUUUAGCCAAUAAGUACAGUUUAUUCUUUAAAUUCACCCUUAUUCUGCUGCCUGACAAUUCUGACCCUUUUUAACUAAAAAUUAAUUAUCUCAUUUUACAGAAUUCAAACGAUGUUCCUGUUUAUUUAUCUUAAAAAUAGACUCAUUCAUAAUUCUAAUCAUAUAAAUUUAAGCCAAUAAUUAUUUUUCUCCAAUUUUUUAUGAUUUUCCAAAGUUAGAACAGAGGAACCCGAAAUCAUUCUGACCUUAUCUCACAAAAUUUACUAUAUCUCACAAUUUACAAUUUCAUUUCUUACACCGUUUCUUUUAUAAGAAACUAGACUAAAUAAUAUUUAAUUUAAUAUUUAUUUAACCUCUAAUUCGAUUCCCACAAUUUUGGGUGAUUUUUCAAAUUUAGACUAUUUCUACUGUCCAAAACUGUUUUAGUGCAAGGUAUUAUUUGCCAUGUUUAUAACACCCUUAUUUUCUUUCUCUACACUAUUUUUGAUUACUUUCUCUUAUUUUCUCUUCACUAACAUGACAAGAACAUAGGACCAUAUAUAAGAAAACUCUAAAUCAACAUCAAUUUCAUGCUUUUUCAACAAUAUUAAACUUAAAAAUAUAUUGAAAUCUUGAUGUUCUUACCUUUUCUUAUUGACUUCAAUCUUUAACUUGAUUUUUCUCUCUCCUCCAGCUUCUAUUUCUUGAAUCCAACUUGAUAUUCUUGCUCCCCAUCAUCUCCUUGCUAUCUUUCUCUCUUGAUGGCUAUGGAAAUUCUUUCAAUUUUUAGGUGAAAAUAAUGAAUUUUUGGUGGAAGGACUAAAUUGUAAAGAAAAAAACUUCUUUUCUUCUUCCUCUCUCACGUUGGUUUGCAUGGGAAAGAAAAGAUGAUGAUUCUUCAUCUUUAUUUCCUUAUAUAUACUAAAUAAAAUAAUAAUAAAAUAAUAAAAUAUUAUUUAAAAAUUAAUUUAAAGUAUUAAUAAACUUAUAUUUAUUUAUUUAAUUUAUCUAAAAUAUCUCCAACAUCAUCAUUGUCUCUAGAUUUCUCUCUCUUCCAAUUGACCAUAUUGCCCUUAGUGAUCUUUUAAAUAUCCAUUCUUGAGUCAUCACUUAAUUUGGUAAAAUUACAAUUUAGUCCCUCAUAAUUCUUCACCUAUUCAAUUUGGUCCUAAUUCAUCAAUUUUCCUUGGUUUCUAAAUCAUUCUACCCUUAAAAUAUUUGCUCUAUUAGUCCUUAAACUUUUCAUAUUUACACUUUAAUCCCUCAAAAUUUGAGUAUUUACUCUUGGGCCACAUAACUUUUCUCAUUUUUACAAUUUAGUCCUUUCUUGAAUCAAUAUGUCGUAAUAUACUUCCCAGUGGCAUAACUCAAUUUUUCCUCUUCUUGUCACUUUAUUUCCUUAUUUUACUAUAUUAAGGAUAAUAUCUUACUGUAAAAAUUUUCAGGGUACUACAUUAACAAUAACAUGGAUAACAUGUUUAUUUAGUCAUACGGACUUAUCUCGAAUGCAAUUUCAGCUAAUUACUCCAUUUUAGUCCAUAACCUCGUACUUUUUGAUUUAAACCCAAAUCUCGAUUUUCUUGAUCUAACAUGAUGAAAUUCAUUCAUUAAUAAUUACAUUAAUUAAAACAUUCUAUAAUUCACAAUUUGGCAAAAUGACCAUUUUGCCCUUAGACUUUACAAAAAUUAUGAUUUUGCCCUUAGGCUCGUAAAUCGAUUUUUAUCGAAUUUUCUCAUUUACCAAGCCUAGCCGAAUACUUUUUAUAACUAUAGAAACUCACAAUUUCAAUUAUUUCACACAUUUACAACUUAUUUUAUAACUUUACAAAAUAACCCUUUUUAGGUGUUUUCAUGCAAACUUCUUUCACAAAAGUUGUUUAUUACACAACCAAGACUCAUGUUAUUCCAUAAAAAUUUAACAAACCACAUGAAUACUCUCAUUAAAAAACCUAUACUUUCAACUAUUUUGCAAAAUAGUCCCCUCAUUAGCUAGAUUAUGCUACAAGGGUCUCAAAAGUACAAAAAUUAUCAAGAAAGGCCAUCAAAAUCACUUACUUGCCAGGGUGAAGAGUGGCUGAUAUUUUUGAGCUUUCAAAACCCCGUCUUUGCUGGUAUUUUUAGUGGAUGAGGAAGAAAGAAGAAAAGAUGAC
rnacentral:lncRNA from 1 species